UACGUAGGGGGCAAGCGUUGUCCGGAUUUAUUGGGCGUAAAGAGCUCGUAGGCGGCUCGUUGCGUCGGCUGUGAAAACCCGCAGCUCAACUGUGGGCUUGCAGCCGAUACGGGCGGGCUUGAGUUCGGUAGGGGAGACUGGAAUUCCUGGUGUAGCGGUGAAAUGCGCAGAUAUCAGGAGGAACACCGGUGGCGAAGGCGGGUCUCUGGGCCGAAACUGACGCUGAGGAGCGAAAGCGUGGGGAGCGAACAGG
rnacentral:rRNA from 1 species